GGGGGGGCGUGGCCAAGGACGCAUGGAAGCGGUCGCAUAAACCGAGAGCUCCGCUGUCUCGAGGGCCCAGCAGCGAGGCAAACAGCAUUACCCCCACACAAAACUGGCCGGACUUACCGACACGCACGCAGUGAAAACCAUGUCGACCAAAUCCCACAAAAAAAUGAAACAGAAAACGAUGGAUUCCUUACUCCACGCACAGCACAUGGCAUGCCCGCGAGUCCAAGAUGGCGAAGGGGAACUGAGAUCACCCCCGCGCGAACCCGACGCUGAUGACAGCCGGAGUAGUUCCUACAGUGCAACAAUGCACCCAGCCACCGAUGCCUCAGUAAGCAGCAUGCUGCAAAACUUAAAAGCAGACCUGCGCUCAGACUUCCUAAAAAUGGCGUCGGACAUUAGGGCUGACAUCCAGGCCCUAGGGGACAGAACGGCUCACCUGGAGGAGAAGACGGAAGGCCUAAUAGACGCACACAAUGACUUAUCUGAUGCACAUACAGCUCUAGCAGACAAAGUCAGGUUUCUGGAAGGGAAGAUAGCUGAUAAUGAAGAUCGAGACCGGAGAAACAAUAUCAGACUCCGAGGCAUACCUGAAAGCAUAGGGCCACAAGACCUCGCUCAAUAUGCUCAAAAGCUGUUCAAAACCUUGAUCCCAGCCCUAGAAGAACCGGAUCUUCGUCUGGACAGGAUACACAGACUGCCUAAACCUCGCCACCUACCUGCUACCACCCCUAGAGACGUGAUAACAAAAAUACAUUACUUCACGGUCAAAGACCGGAUAAUGCAGGCGUCCAGGCUAGAACAAACCCUUCCAGGUGACUAUGCAGAUGUUAAGCUUUUCAUUGAUCUGUCAGCGGCCACCAUGUACAAGAGGCGAACGUUUGCACCCAUUACAACGGCCUUGCGCAAAGCCAAUAUCUUAUACAAAUGGGGAUUUCCAGCUAAAUUAUUAGUGAACAAAAACGGAGCGAACCGAAUAAUCCUCACCCCAGAAGAUGGUCUGAAGGUCCUAGAAGAAUGGAACAUACCGAUCCCAAUAACUGACAAACGAAGAGAAGGCACCCCACCGCCACGUAAAAUGGCGAGAGACUGGCAACAGGUUCCAUGGAACACCACAGAUCCGCAGACCCGCCGAUUACCCCGUACCUAAGACUUUCCUCUGACAACAGCGGGACACGUAAUAUCUUCACCCACAACGGCUUUAUUGUAUUUCUGUGUAAUAUAUGUUACUAUCGCAUUGUUCUACUCCAAUUAGACACAGUUAUGAGAACACAACGAUAGGCCCCCGAGCGGUAGAGAAGUACCACUAGAAUUACAACUCUACUCAUAUACGCUUUAGUAUUCACCACCACCCCCCACACGGCUUACAAGCUAGGCCAACAUAUACCCGUGUGCAAAUUUGUGCACAUAGCCCCAAGGGCCAACGGGAACCUGUAUAUAGUUUGUUUGACCCCACUCCUCCCCCCUCUUUGCCGACCCAUUCGAAUCUAUACCUGGCAGCCAAGGUAAUAGGCGACCAGAGUAAGAGAUCCCUCCCACUGAUUGACUCAACACCCCAUCUACUCCCCAAACCGCAAGGUAGGCAUAAUGCCGCUAAAAAUCCUCUCCCUCAAUACCAAAGGGCUGAACUCACCCAACAAGCGCAGGCUAGCUUUACUAGAAGCUAAGAGGCAGAACGCACAAGUGGCUUUCUUCCAGGAAACCCACUUCAAAUGGAGAGCUAAACCCAGAUUCAACUCCCCCUGGUUUCCGAUAGAUUAUCAUACAUGCUAUCAUACCAAAAAAAGAGGAGUGUCGACGCUAAUAAGCAAAAAUGUUUCCUUUGAAUUAAUACGUAAAAUUGGAGAUAAAAAAGGCAGGUACCUUAUCAUACAAUGUCACAUUAACAAUCAACCGUAUACGUUAGUGAACAUUUACAGCCCAAAUGAAAACCAGGUUAUGUUUAUUGAUGAUGUUUUCUCUCUCUUAUCAAUGUAUAGUUUUGGGGAGGUAAUCAUUGGAGGCGACACCAAUUUUCUCUUAGAUGCACAUAUGGACUCAUCCGCUUCUAGAACGGUAAAUACAACUACAUCCAAAAAACGACUCACACUGUCAUCCACCAUCUGCCAAACACUAAUGACACAUAACUAUGUCGACCCAUGGAGAAUUUCGCACCCGACGGACAUAGACUAUACCUGCUACACUGCAGCACACAAUAGCUAUUCAAGAAUUGACAGAUUCCUAAUCAAAUACUCGUCCCUAGAGAGAGUAUCCCACACGGACAUUGGCAAUAUCACAUGGUCUGACCAUGCCCCAAUCACACUGACAUUAUCAGAACAAUUCCCCUCCGCUGGCCGUACAACCUGGAGACUGAACGAGACCCUUCUCAAUGACCCGGUAAUAGUCUCCCACAUCACCACAGACCUCCAACACUACUUUGCAGACAAUGUACAAAACAACACAACACCGGAAUCAAUUUGGUUAGCACAUAAAGCUGUAAUAAGAGGCAGCUUCAUAAAACACGCGAGCUACGCUAAAAAAACUCGCCAAGCACAAUACUUACAAAUCAUUGCAGACAUAACGUCAUUGACUCACAGGAAUAAACAUACACCGUCACCUAGCAUACAAACUGCCCUGCACCAAGCGCACUCCAAACUACGGGAUUUUGAACUAGCCAAAACCACAUACCUACUGCAAAAAUCCAAACACAAAUUCUUUGCAUUCGGCAACAGAGCAGGAGCAAAAUUGGCUUCUCAACUCAAACAACGAUCUGCCGCCUCCAGGAUUGCCUUCCUGAACAAUAGUAGGGGUCAGAAAAUCAUAGACCCACAAAAAAUUGUAAAUGAAUUCUCAGAUUAUUACCACAACCUGUACAAUCUAAAAGCAGAUGGGGGGGUGAAGGUCCCUACACACGAAGAUAUCGAUAGAUACCUAACGGAUGUCCAACUGCCUUCCCUAUCAGUGACUGACAUUGACACACUCCGCCGCCCAAUAUCCCCUGACGAAAUAAAUAAGGCUAUAGCUGACCUCCCCCCACACAAAACACCGGGACCCGAUGGCCUACCUAAUAAAUAUUACAAAAAGUUCUCCGGACUACUGACCCCACACCUAACGAACCUCUUUCAACAUUGCGCAGGACAGGGAACAUUGCCAGCAGAAAUGCUACUAGCCCACAUUACUACCCUACCCAAACCUGGUAAACCCCCUACUGUAUGUAAAAACUUCCGGCCCAUAUCCCUCCUCAACAGUGACGCCAAGCUGUACGCAAAAAUACUAAGCAACCGACUUACUCCUGUAUUAAACAGUUUGGUGCACAAUGACCAAACUGGGUUUGUGAGGGGACGCCAAGGCUCAGACAACACCCGAAAAAUCCUUAGCAUAUUGGCCACAAUGGAACGCAACUCGGUGGGAGGCCUUCUCCUUGCAUUGGAUGCAGAGAAGGCCUUUGACCGACUAAAUUGGUCCUUCAUGCAGGCGGUGCUCCUGAAAUACGGCCUCCCUCAUGAGACUAUCAGAAGUCUCAUGGCAUUAUAUGCAACACCAGCAGCCAGAGUUUCACAUGGAGGCUACAUCUCCACCACAUUCCCGAUAUCAAAUGGGACUCGACAGGGCUGCCCUCUAUCCCCCUUACUCUACAUUUUAUCCCUAGAACCCCUGGCCCAAAAAAUACGCUCCCACCCUAACAUAGAAGGCAUAAAGAUACGAACACACGAAUACAAAUUGGCCCUCUUCGCCGAUGAUAUUCUAGUGACGCUAGGGAAUCCCCAAACAUCAGUACCAAACCUUAUGGAGGCCCUAACAGAGUUUGGUGACAUAUCGCAUUACCGCCUAAACCAAGACAAGACCCAAGCUCUACCUAUUAGACUCCCCCCGACCACUACAACCUCUCUAAAAAACAAAUUCCAAUUCGAUUGGAGAACAUCCUCCCUGACAUACUUGGGGGUAAAAAUAGCGCCCUCACUAACAGAAAUCACAAAACUUAAUUACAACACCCUCCCCAAACAAUGCACAAAAGAAGUCCAAAAAUGGACACAGACAAAAAUCUCAUGGCUGGGAAAAGUUAACGCAUAUAAAAUGGUGAUUUUACCAAAAAUAUUGUAUAUUUUCCGAAUGCUUCCUAUCCAGAUCCCGCAAACACUCCUCAAACACCUCCAAACCAUAUGCAACAAAUAUAUUUGGGGAAAUAAGAGGCCACGCAUACCGCACACCAUACUACAGAGACACGUAUCACAAGGAGGUGUGGGACUGCCCAACAUCAGCCUCUAUUAUAAAGCCUCCGCCUUAACAGCGGGUAUACUCCUACAUACCCCAGUAGGGAAUACCCAAUGGGUUGACCUGGAAAGAGCCCAGUUCCAAGAUAACACCGCACUAGACUACAUGUGGACCCCAAAAAAACUCAGGCCACCUAAAGCCGACCUGCUCCCUACGACAAAAUUUACCCUCCGAGUAUGGACAACUUUCCUGGAGACCCUAGGAGCCAAACAUACCUUCCACCCUAAAGCACCUUUAACAGCCUUGAAGGCAAUCUCACCAGACAUCCACUUACAAAAAUGGUUGAAAGCGGGAAUUACCCAUAUAUACCACAUACUUCAGCCACAGGGACUGAUGACAUUCCCCGAAAUACAACAGACAUGGGGCCUACCUAACAACACCAUAUUCUCGUAUCUCCAACUCAAAGGUAUGAUCACCACCCAUGUGCACAACCAACACCCCAACCCAAAUCAAACAUCUCUCCCAACAGAAGCAAUAAUAGAACGGUGCAGGACAGCACCAACGAAAUCAAAAGCUAUCUCCCUCUGCUAUAAAGCGUGGGAAGAUACCCUACCCCCUACCACACCUAAAUACAAAACUUUAUGGGAAGCAGACUGCUCUAUCCAACUCACAGAGAGGGAAUGGAUACACGCACUCAAUGACUUAUCCAAAUGGACACGCUGCUACACGCACAUCGAAGCCCAUAGGAAACUAUUAUAUAGAUGGUACCUAACCCCAAGUAGGCUCCACAAAAUCUACCCAAACACAUCUUCAGUAUGCUGGAGAUGCAAGGCUGCUGAGGGUACACUCAUACAUAUAUGGUGGAACUGCCCUAACAUACAACCCCUCUGGACAGAGGUACAUCGCACACUUCGUAUCCUUCACGUGCCCAACACCCCAAAAACCCCAGAGGUGUACCUACUCCUGCGGUUUCCGCCACUAUUUGGCAAAUCACAAAAACAAAUAUGCGCACUCACCACUCUAGCCGCCCGUAACUUAUUGGCUUUAAACUGGAAAUCCACACUGUGCCCAACAAAAGCCCAACUAAGAGAUAAAAUACAACAAUUUUACCUUUUUGAACGCAUGGCCAUAACGGACGACAACACAGCGCGCACAUUCCAAGAGACAUGGGCCCCAUGGGUCACAUUGACCACACUCAAAAAGGGUUAACCAAGAGACAUGACCAACAUAGCCAGAGUCGACCCACAAAGGACAUAAAACUACGCCAACAGGCGUGAUUGAACAAUUCCAAUUCCAAUACCAAAACCACACAUAUCGAUAAGUAAUCCCAGAAACCCGCUAGUGGAGCACCGAGAGGAUGCACGCCACAACACGUUGAGCCCCCCUUCACUAACCAACACACCCCAAUUGAUAGGGGUAGAUAGACAGGGGGAGAAGUCCGAUAACGGACGCUAGUUAUUAGUUCUUGUUGUUGUUACACGUUGUUCUGAUGAUUGAUAUACGAAUACAGUGCGGCAAAGUUGACAUGACGAGCUUUCAUGUAACAAAUACUAUGUCCCCAAAACGACUAUACUGUACAAUACCAGAAGCUAACGUUGUGCUAGGGCAAACUCAUUUGUAGCCCGCUACUAAGUUGCUAUGAUACUACCUUGCUGUACCAUUAUGAAUCACUUAUGUAUGUUUUAUUAUACCC
rnacentral:lncRNA from 1 species